AUUACAUCAGUAUUCAGAUUUUGUUUUGGUCAACAGAUGACGCAUUUUCCAUUCGAGUAGACUAUUAAGUGACGGGGCGAAGCAGGCCCUUCUACAGGCUGCCAACCCCUGCGGAAUGGCGGAGGACGGGCCCCGACCGCGUGAUGGAUAUUUUCGAGGGCUGGGACCCGAGACUCGAAUACAGGCCUCCAGAGUGGAAAGCCGAAGCGUUUCCAUGCGGCCAAUACGGCCGACCUCGAUAUUCCAGUUAGGUUACUUAAGCCGCCAUAUCGUACCAGGGAUAUUCUAUAUGUGGCAGCGGCCAUUUAUAGAGCCCGUUACAGGCUGACCAACAUCCAUGAUGGGGCCCGGACCCCUUCUGAAAAACUGAUAUCAGUAUUUGGAAAUUUUAAUAUAGGCUUAAUCUUCAUUAUACUCUAUAAUUCAACGAAAACUAUAUAUUUCUAUUCAUCAAAUUAUUGUUUUAAAGCUGACAGAUAGAAACUAACUCAUAUAUUUGUAAGUAAUAUCUAAUACUACUGGUUACGGUGCCAUUAAUCUAGGGUGC
rnacentral:lncRNA from 1 species